rnacentral:rRNA from 1 species
AUUGAACGCUGGCGGCAUGCCUUACACAUGCAAGUCGAACGGUAACGCGGGGGCAACCCUGGCGACGAGUGGCGAACGGGUGAGUAAUACAUCGGAACGUACCCAGUAGUGGGGGAUAGCUCGGCGAAAGCCGGAUUAAUACCGCAUACGACCUAUGGGUGAAAGCGGGGGAUCGCAAGACCUCGCGCUAUUGGAGCGGCCGAUGUCGGAUUAGCUAGUUGGUGAGGUAAAGGCUCACCAAGGCUACGAUCCGUAGCUGGUCUGAGAGGACGACCAGCCACACUGGGACUGAGACACGGCCCAGACUCCUACGGGAGGCAGCAGUGGGGAAUUUUGGACAAUGGGCGCAAGCCUGAUCCAGCCAUGCCGCGUGUGUGAAGAAGGCC